rnacentral:misc_RNA from 1 species
UUGAAUAAACUUGGAUAGGUUGCUGCUGGCCCUAAAGGCAUGUGCACACCUAUUCCACUUUUAAUCCCCUGUGCACAAUGUGUAGACCUGAAUAAUCUUCGAGAAAUUGUCUCGGUCUGAGAGAUGCUGUGUGAAAGCAUGGCUUCUCUUGUCUUUCAGGUCUAUGUUUUUCAUAUUUACCCCACACAGUGUAGAAGAAUGUUUAUGUAUUUGGGUUAAUUGUACCCUUAACAAUCAAAUA